rnacentral:lncRNA from 7 species
UUUCUUCUGAGGUGGCUGCAUGCUGCAGAGAUCGGGGUGCAGGAAAAUAUUCAUUUGUGAAACAAAAACGAUUCAUAGAAAGGAGAUGUUUCUUCCAAGUCGGCUAGGUUAGCAUCUCAGAAAAGGGCUUCUUUCACACUGACCCGCUGAGCAGUGAGCAGCGCUCCUUUCGAAACCUUCGGUGAGUAUUUAUGGAAAAGAAGUUAAAAGGAAAAUGCUGAAGCUGAAGUGAAACCUCCGGAACGUUUCUGAUGAGCGAUUUUGGCGAGCUGCCCCCAGGAGCAACGCGCCGUCACCUCCAUGCUGCUGUGCGCUGCUCCCCUGUCCUACAAACGCCAUUUUGGAGGCACUCCUGGGAGCUCUGUGGGCACCUCCUUGUGAAGGUCUGCUCAGGAAUACCCGUAUUCUCCUUGUAGCGUGAAUGAACCACAGUUUUGCUAUAUCACAUUUCCACCCAAGAAUGAAUGAAAUGGUGUCUGACUGGGAACACCUAAUAGGCAUUACAUUAGACAUUAAAAAAAAAAAAAAAAGAGCCUAGCCAUCUCCAUAGACAGCUGUGGGAGGAAAAAGCUCCCCUUGUGCCAAAUGGGAGGAGGUUCCUUGAGCCCAGCGCUACCCGGAGCUGUGCUGGAAGCAGUGCUUGGACGGCUGCGGGCGUUCCGAGCUGUGCUGUUUUCCUUGGCCAUCUGCUUGGCUGCGUCUCUGACUUCUGGACCAGGUCCUGAGUUUUUCUGAAGUUAAUGGAAAUUUGCAUGGGCUCCGUUCUUGGAUUUGCCCUUCUCUUCUGUUGCAGGUUUGUGCUUAAAAAAAAAAAAAAAACCACAAACUUUUUUUAUUGUUACACUUCUGCAGUCUGGAAUUCCUCAGCAUUGGUUUCUGUAUUCCAUAGGCCUGAAAUAGCUGAAAAUUUGUCAGUAAGUGUAAGAUUUCAGAAACUCACUGCUUUAUUGCUCAUAACUUCUCCCCUCACUGCUAUUUAUCCCCCUCAAACCGCUCUGCCUGUGUAAGGAUCCUGGUGCUGAGAGAAGUGAGCAGAGCCCGUGUGCUGUAAUGCGAGCGUUCACUGAGCGCUGCUGCACAGCUUGCUCACAGAUUGGAGAUAACACGGCUGUUUCUGUACAGUUGAUAUUACAGAUUUGCUGCACCCUGCUUUGCAGAUAAAGAGUAGGAUUAUUUGUAAUGAAGUUAUGCAAUUCAGCUUUGUCUCUUGCUUUUGUUCCAUAGGGGUGAAAUAUCAAAAAUCUAUAAAGAAGUCAGCAUGCAAACAAAGUUGUUCUGC